ACUGCUUGAGUCUGUGCGGUCAGGCCCUGCACCCGGCGUCAUUGCGCGCCUGCUCCGGGCGUUCGCGGGCCUGCCCUUCCGAGAAGUGUCCCCGCGGACCAUAGGGGGCCGAGCUGACAGCCGCGGCGCCGGCACCGGGCCGGGUCACGCAAACGCAGCCGUUCAGUGGAACCUACCUGAAUCACGAGGAGUCCGGAAUGCAUCACUGCGUGUGCUGUGACAGCCCAUUCUUCAGCCAGGCUAAGUGUGCUGCUGGCACCAGGCAAGUCACAACUGCUAGGCUCAACCCAACCCUGACUCCAGCUCUGACAGUGGAAUUUCACGCAGUGACAGAGGGGCGGCCAUUUCCAUCGAAUUGACUUCUGUAGGCUUGCCCGGGACCAGAGGGCAUGACUCUUUGGGAACAGGGAGAAGCUGAUGGACUACGAGCCAGAAAAUUCCUACAAAACUCUCCUGAACUUUCCACUGUGGUGAAGCACUUGGUGGACAUAUACAGGUGGGGAUGGAGGGAAAAGAGGAAGUAGAUGCGGGAUUAGAGUAAUCAACAAUCUCAGCGUCGAAACAAGUGCCGAGGACGGGAGGUUGUGAGACAGCGGAGUUGGGGAGGCCCACGCAGUGAUCGGUGGGGUGUAUGAAUCUUCUUCGUAACUUUAGACUGUCUUGACCAUUCUGGUCUCAUGCUUUCUACCCACAAAUAAGUGCAAAUGGGAGCUUAUUAGAUUUCAGUGACUAAUGAGUAUA